GGGUCCGUCGGGGACUCUUCGCAGCGCCUCGGCUGAAAAGCGAGCGCCUCUCCUCACCCCAGCCUGUUGGGGCUGUGGGUACCGCGCGAGUUUAGGAGAAGAAACUGUUCACAGAGUUACUAAUGAGGGAUGAAAAGUCUCUCUGCCAUGAAUGAGAAUCUGAGAUCACUUCAGCAAGAUCUGAAGAUUGGCAUUGACACAGAGAACUCUGUGUCUUCUAAUGGAGUUUAUGUGUGCAAACCACCCAGACUGUAGAAGGGUGGAAAAAAUAAAUCUCACUGCAUAUGAAGUAACUUGUUAUUUACCAAGAUUCAAAAGAAGAUUUUAUUUGCUAAAUUUGAAUGUAAUAUUUUUGCUAGGUGCACCAGAGUGAGGAAGGAAGGCAAGUAGUCCUGAAAAAUCCUAGAUUCUGAAAAACAUACUUUUAUAAUUUAGGAACUAUUUUAUGCCAGCAGUUGUGUAUUUGUAUGAAUAUAUCUACAAUGAGGGUCUUAGAUUGGCUAACUUCUGUUUACAUGAGGCUAGCAUUUUGCUAGCUGCAGAUACUUUUGGAAUUAUCUGUCUUAAUCUUUUAAAUUAUUGUCUGAGAUCACGUUAUAAAAUUAAAUGAUUAAUUUUAAAUCUGUUUUCUUUAUGAUGCAAGCAUUUCAUAGUCUUUUAGUAUGUUUCAUAUGGCUUAUCCCUAGACAUGAAUGUUAUAAAUAUAAGCAAGUGCCAUCUGGUUGUUCUAGCACCUUUCUUAUCUCCCAUGGAGUUAUUUUUAGUGCAGCCGAAAUACAGAAAAGAGUUACUGCAAAUGAUGCAUGAAAUAAGGUUUACCCACUAAUUUUCACAAACUUUGUUCUUUAGCAAAGCUGAAUGAAUACAUAAAAAAACUUGAAGCAUGGUGCUAUGUGCAUUUUGUUAAUAACAUUUUUUCCCAUUAGAGCAUCAAAGCGCUCUUGUUGCUCACCUCAACUAAACAAUUGAUCCACUGACCUUAAAAAAAGUCUGGACUCACCAUUUUUUGCUGAUUUGUAGAACACCAUAUUCAUUUGCAAACUGAUUCCCUGAGCAACACUGUGAAAAUUACUGGAAGAUGCAAGUAAAGUACAGCCUUCUGAGAUAUAACUAUUGGACAUACCAAAGUUGGAAUGGUCAUGGUUUACUGGGAGACAGCCAAGCCUUCCAUCAUGCAAACCUAGAGCUUUUGUAAGGGUGAACUGCAAUAAAUAUUAGCCCACUUCUAGUAAUAUCUUUUCUGUAUCUAAGCCUUAUGUUACACUGUGUCCCAGAUCCAUUUAAUUUGUAAAAGGAUAAAUAAAGUUUGGAGUCAUGUGUUGAGUCAGUGACACUCACCUUCCUGUCCUGUUUACUGUAUUUCUUUGCUACUAAAGCAUACCAUAAGGUCACGCUCAUCACUUAAUUUGUUACAUUCUAACUGCAUCUGCAUUCAGUGUUAUCUGUAUAGUAUAAUCUUACAAACACGCAGGUGAUUUUUUCUCCAGAUGAUGACCUGAAAGAUCCCUUCCAACUCAGACAGUUCCAUGAAUCUAUGAAUUAGUUACUUAGGAAAUCUAUGUAGAAUCAGAUAUCUAAGAAACGGCAGUGAAAGUUGCUCAUCUUUUCUGAACUAACAUUAUUAGUUGGUGGUUGAACUCUCACACUUGCCGUAUUUUUAAAUCUUCCCGUAUCUCUUCAUUUACCUUCUGGUUCUCAUCCACACAAGGAAGAACAAACAUUUCACGCUGCAUUCUGUGAAACAGUACUUCCCUUAAAUUCAGUAUGGUUCCUCUAUAUGAAUGUUUUUACUCUUUUCUGUGAUCUCUGAUCUGUCUAAUGGUCUUCUGUCUUGACACACUGCUUGCAAUGUCUGGAACAUCAUUGCUGUUUAUAAAUGGCAUUUCAAUCUCUAAUCUGUUUUCAAAUUUCUUAGUAAAAUGUGUCUAUCCAGCUUAAUCAUGCUUAAUUUUUCAGUUAGCCUUCUGCUUUUCUGUAUUAAUUUCUGUAGUUAGAUAAUUUAGCUCUGUAGGGCAUUUAAUGUGUAUUGUUUGUGUGCCAGCCCUGUAGAUAAAAGGCCAGAAAAAAAGUAGAGCAUAUUCAUUUGAGCAGUAGCAUCAUGAAUGCUAGAAGCCAGCACAUACAGGAAGAGCUUCUGGAGAGUAUUAAAUUCCUACUUAGAAACAGAGGCAAAUGUAGACCAAUUCUAGUCAUCAGUUGAAGAAAUUAUGUAAGGUAAUGUAAGGACUACUUGACCACUUCUAUCUGUGGCAAACAGGAUUACAGCUUAGUUAUCUGCUGAAAACCUUUAUCCUAUUGGCAGCUUCAGAGAUCACAUAAUUAUUUGUUCCCAUUUCAUAAACUGGAAAAUGCAUACUAGGAUACUGAUGUCCCAGAAAUGAUUUGGAAUUAAAGGACUCCAGACUGGAGUGAUGCCAGCAUAUCUGAAGUUCAGAGUUGGACCCAAAUUCUGACAAAUAGAAGAGGGUCAGCCUGAAUAGUACUUUUCACAGUUUAUUAAGUAUUACUUUCCUCUACUUCUGCAGGCUUAACAUGGAACAGGUGUGAGCACAGGGAUUUGCCUGGAUUUUUCUGCAUGAAGGAUUGGUUUCACAGUAGAUACUGUCCAAAGUCCUAACUUUUAAUGUUGCUGUCCAAAUGGAGAUUAAUGAAGGUAUUCUUUCAUGUAAUUCAUUAUCCCUGAGGUGUACAAUACUUCUAUUUCCUCUUGUCUGUCUGACAGUGAACACUAUUCUUAUUGAACUUUAUUCCACUAUCCUACACUGAUACUUAUGUAGUUGUCAUUAUCAAACUCCUUGAAUACUCUCCUCGAUGCAUCCACAAGAAUUUUUCCAUUUAAAAUAAAAACUCUUGAAACAAUUAAAUUAUUGAAAUAUUUUUGUCCAUUAAGAAUGUCACAUCAUUUUUAAAGAUCUACUGGAGAUGUUUCAUAUGUUAGGCUAUGAAUAAAAGUCUAUUAAAAAAACUCUAACAGCUGUUGUGCUAGGAGUUGUAGACACUGCAUGCUUUAACAAGUGUGAGAAUAAUUCUGUGUCAAAAAAUAAAUCUUGUGACAUAAACUAUUGCUUGCAGCAACAGAGUCUGAUGUACUUUUAACUACUAUCUUCUUCUAUUAUAAAAUUCUUAUAUUAUAAAAGGUAUUCCAGUUUAAUUUUCUGAAGAGGUAUCUUUAAGAGAUAUUUGUUACCAUUUAAUACUGUGGCUUGUUACCUGAAAUUCCUACUGAGAGCAUCCUCAACAAUCCAAACUGCUGUUCAUUUAAAAUAUUUUAUAUCUUCCAAAAUGUGUCAGUGUUCAAUUUUGUAAAGUAUUCUAAAAUCUGCUUAAAAAAUGAAUUAAAAUGAAGUCAUUGUGCUUGAAAAGCUUUGCCAUGUGUGACAAAGGAUUCUUAGCGUUAACACUGAAAUAAAACCAGACAUCAUGUAAUCUC